UACGUAGGGUGCAAGCGUUAAUCGGAAUUACUGGGCGUAAAGCGUGCGCAGGCGGUGAUGUAAGACAGGUGUGAAAUCCCCGGGCUUAACCUGGGAACUGCAUUUGUGACUGCAUCGCUGGAGUGCGGCAGAGGGGGAUGGAAUUCCGCGUGUAGCAGUGAAAUGCGUAGAUAUGCGGAGGAACACCGAUGGCGAAGGCAAUCCCCUGGGCCUGCACUGACGCUCAUGCACGAAAGCGUGGGGAGCAAACAGG
rnacentral:rRNA from 2 species